rnacentral:rRNA from 1 species
GACGAACGCUGGCGGCGUGCUUAACACAUGCAAGUCGAACGGAAAGGCCCUGCUUUUGUGGGGUGCUCGAGUGGCGAACGGGUGAGUAACAUGUGAGUAACCUGCCCUUGACUUUGUGAUAACUUCAGGAAACUGGUGCUAAUACCGGCUAGGAGCUCCUGCUGCAUGGUGGGGGUUGGAAAGUUUCGGCGGUUGGGGAUGGACUUGCGGCUUAUCAGCUUGUUGGUGGGGUAGUGGCUUACCAAGGCUUUGACGGGUAGCCGGCCUGAGAGGGUGAACGGCCACAUUGGGACUGAGAGACGGCCCAGACUCCUACGGGAGGCAGCAGUGGGGAAUAUUGCACAAUGGGCGGAAGCCUGAUGCAGCAACGCCGCGUGCGGGAUGACGGCCUUCGGGUUGUAAACCGCUUUCGCCUGUGACGAAGCGUGAGUGACGGUAAUGGGUAAAGAAGCACCGGCUAACUACGUG